UGGGGAAUAUUGCGCAAUGGGCGAAAGCCUGACGCAGCCACGCCGCGUGUGCGAUGAAGGUCUUCGGAUCGUAAAGCACUGUGGGGGGAGAAGAAACAAGCCGGUGAAGAGCCGGCCCUGACGGUAUCCCCUUAGCAAGCACCGGCUAACUCCGUGCCAGCAGCCGCGGUAAUACGGAGGGUGCAAACGUUGCUCGGAAUCAUUGGGCGUAAAGCGCACGUAGGCGGCCUAUCAAGUCGGAUGUGAAAGCCCUGGGCUCAACCCAGGAAGUGCAUCCGAAACUGACAGGCUUGAAUGCCGGAGGGGCCCAGAGAAUUCCCGGUGUAGAGGUGAAAUUCGUAGAUAUCGGGAGGAAUACCAGUGGCGAAGGCGCUGGGCUGGACGGCUAUUGACGCUGAGG
rnacentral:rRNA from 1 species